rnacentral:tRNA from 1 species
CCUUCGAUAGCUCAGCUGGUAGAGCGGAGGACUGUAGAUCCUUAGGUCGCUGGUUCAAUUCUGGCUCGAAGGA